rnacentral:rRNA from 1 species
UACGUAGGGGGCUAGCGUUGUCCGGAAUCAUUGGGCGUAAAGCGCGUGUAGGCGGUCCGGUAAGUCCGCUGUGAAAGUCGAGGGCUCAACCCUCGAAUGCCGGUGGAUACUGUCGGGCUUGAGUACGGGAGAGGCGAGUGGAAUUCCUGGUGUAGCGGUGAAAUGCGUAGAUAUCAUGAGGAAUACCAGAGGCGAAGGCGGCUACCUGGACAAUUGCUGACGCUCAGGCACGAAAGCGUGGGGAGCAAACAGG